GACGAACGCUGGCGGCGUGCCUAAUACAUGCAAGCCGAACGAGAGCGACCGGUGCUUGCACUGGUCAAUCUAGUGGCGAACGGGUGAGUAACACGUGGGUAACCUGCCCAUCAGAGGGGGAUAACAUUCGGAAACGGAUGCUAAAACCGCAUAGGUCUUCGAACCGCAUGGUUUGAAGAGGAAAAGAGGCGCAAGCUUCUGCUGAUGGAUGGACCCGCGGUGCAUUAGCUAGUUGGUGAGGUAACGGCUCACCAAGGCCGUGAUGCAUAGCCGACCUGAGAGGGUGAUCGGCCACAUUGGGACUGAGACACGGCCCAAACUCCUACGGGAGGCAGCAGUAGGGAAUCUUCCGCAAUGGACGCAAGUCUGACGGAGCAACGCCGCGUGAGUGAAGAAGGUUUUCGGAUCGUAAAACUCUGUUGUUAGAGAAGAACAAGUGCUAGAGUAACUGUUAGCGCCUUGACGGUAUCUAACCAGAAAGCCACGGCUAACUACGUG
rnacentral:rRNA from 1 species